AACGCACAUUGCGCUCCCUGGUAUUCCGGGGAGCAUGCCUGUUCGAGCGUCAUUACAACCCUCACGCCUAGCGUGGUGUUGGGCUUGCCCUGUAGGGCCUGUCUCAAAAUCAGUGGCGGCACUAUCUAGUACCCUAAGCGUAGUAAUACUUGUCGCUUCUGGGCUCUAGGCAGCGGCCUGCCAGCAGCCCCCCCCUAAAACUUUCUAGGUUGACCUCGGAUCAGGUAGGGAUACCCGCUGAACUUAA
rnacentral:misc_RNA from 1 species